AGGGCCCUUUAUGACCCGCGGUGACAGAGGUGCUGCUGGUGACACGGCCACAGUGUCAACAGUGCUCCUCGGAGCAGGCGAUGGGACAGGACGGGACAGAGCGGUGCUGUGCGGAGCCCCCGCGCAGCCAACUCGUGCCUUGCUGACCCGGAGCAUUUUGGAGGAUUUUCUCAUUUCCAGGUGACCUCGAGGCAUUUCCACAGGAUUUGGAGACCCAAGAGUUUCUCCGAGGUGUCUCUAAUCCCUGUGGCAGGUGCCCUUGAGACCCUUUUGCAGGACUUGGAGACCCGGAGCUUCUCCGAGGUGUCUCCAAUCCCUGCGGCAGGUGGCCUCAAGGCCAUUCUGCAGGACUUAGGGCCCGGAGUUUCUCCGAGGUUCUCUUUCUCUCUUGCAGGUGCCCUGGACACCAGACUGUGGCAUGGCAGGGAGACGCUUCAGCCUGCUCAGGCUGUUCCGGAGGAAGAAGGAGGAGGAAAGCCCUGGGGCUGCUCCAGCACAGCAGCCUGAAGAGGUGCAGCAGGUGCAGCCCCCGCAGGAGGAUGCAGGCCAGGAGCGGACAGAAGAGCAGCUCCGUGCCCGUGGCCGCUUCCGCAGGGCAGCACAGACAUUUAUGAAAUUCAUGGGCAGUCGGCGUAGAAAGGCCAGGAUCACACCAGCUGAUGUCCAGGCCCAGCCUGACACCAUCCCGACCCAGGUGACAAAGCCUGAUGUCAGCACCGCGUCGACUGCUGUCCCAGCAAAGUGUGACACCGCAACCAGUGAUCACACAACCCACUGGGACACCACGUCCACCGAUGAUGUGUCACACUGUGACUCUGUGCUGCCUGGUCUCACGGAGGAGGCCGACACCACAACGACGGAGGGCGUGGCGAGCACUGACGCCGCGCCUGUUCAGCGCCUGGCCGAUACCCCCAGCCUGGAGUUUCUUGAGGAGAGAGCUGUCUCUGCUGAAGUAGCCAUAAUGCCAGAUGGAGACAUGCAGCAGAGACCCCCCACGGUGCCCAAGCUGGCCUGGGUGAAGGAGGAGGAGAAGGAGGAAAGCCCUAGGGCUGGUCCAACACAGCAGCCUGAAGAGGUGCAGCAGGUGCAGCCCCCGCAGGAGGAUGCAGGCCAGGAGCGGACAGAAGAGCAGCUCCGUGCCCGUGGCCGCUUCCGCAGGGCAGCACAGCUGGUUUGCAGAUUCAUCAGGUGCAUUUGACAUGAAGAGGCCACUUUCAUGGCCACUUGGGACACGGCAAACUCGGACCUCUUCAAUGCCCAGACCAGCGCUGCCCUGCUGGAUUUGCUUGUGGAGAACGGUGUCUACAAAGCAAAGCAAGUGCCGGCCAUAGUCAGGUGCAUCCACCAGUGGCUCACGUCCAAUGUGUCUGCUGAGCACAGGCUGGACAAGACUCUUGUCCUGCUGACCAAGGCACACCCCAUGGAUGUUGCAGUGACCCUGCUGCGCUCUGCCCCAGCCUGUGACAGAGCUGCUCGCACCAUGUGGAAGACACUCAUCUCCUCCAGAUGGACUAAGGAGCCGGUGCUGCAGAUCCUCUUCCGUGUGCUGGAAUACUGGCCAGCGCACAGGAGACGCACCUCUGAUGGGGAUGAGAGGGAUGUCUUUGCCCUGGCUGUGAGUUUCUUGAGCUGGCCUCUGCUCGCCCCCAGGUUGCCUCUGGGACGCCUUUCCAUCCUCCCUCACCACUGCUUCUCCCUGCCCCAGGCACUGGGCUGCAAGCCUGCCUUAGGGGCAGGUUCA